AUUAUGCAAAAUAAUCUAAAUAUUUUAGGGAUUAAUUCACAGGAAAUGAAUCGAAAACUCAUGAUUGAUGAUUUAUUUUAAUUGAAUUUAAAAAUACGUCAAUACGUCUAUAUAACUCAUACACAGCUGUAUACAUAGCUGAUAUGAUAGUAUUGAAAUUUUUCUAUUUGCAAUGAAUUUUAAAAAUAUCCCGUAAACCGCGCGUAUACUGAAACCCCCGAGAGCCUUUUUAUUCGGCCCGUUUUGCCCGCGCACCGGAGAACAUUAUAUUAUCCUAAUGGUAUUAUUAUUAAAAUAUUAUUGUAAUAAACCGCAAGACUACGAAAUGACAAUAAUAAAUGCGUGCGCGUAUACGCCGUGUACUAAAAGCAAACAAAAAAAAAAAAAACAACGAAAUACGCGGUAACCAUAGGUGCAUUACUUAUGCAAAAAAAUAGUAUAUGUCAAUAUCCAAAUAUUUGUUGCCGUCCGCAUUUUAUACCGGUAAAUUACGUGAAACUACGUUGUUCGAAACGUUAAACUGUCGUGGCGUUUAGAAUUCAAACGUAUAAAAACAACCGAAUCGAAAAGAGGAGAAUGUUUUCGAGUUUACGUUUCAAUGAUGUAUUUUUACACGGGAUGAUGCGUCGAACGAAAAACAACGACGGUCAUUAUUAUUUUUAUGGUUUCUAGAAAAAAAAUAAUAAACGACAACGCGUACACACUGUCCGCGCAAUUAAUAUUUGCCUCUUUAAAUUUCGCUAUCCGCGUUUAAACUCGUAAUUAUUUCGACCUAAACGUCGCGAUUUAUGUUGACGCGUACCUAUAAUUUCGCUACGACGACCGGGACAGUCAGUAUAAACGCGAGUAAUUUACAGCGUCCUCGAGUUUUUACUCAAAACAAAGACAAUUUCUACGCGUUUCUAAACGAUAAACUAUUAUCGCAAUCGUUUUUUUUUUUUUUUUUUCUAAACCGGCGACGGUAGUUUACGAUCGAUAAUACCAUACGUAUAAUUUAAUUUAAUUACUUUAUUGUCGCGUAUUAUACCCGCAGUUAUUCCAUGCGUCUUCAUUACGUUGCAAUAUAGUUGCAACGCGCAUUAAACGUGAUGUCGCAUAUUAGUUUUAUUUUCUUCUUCUUUUUAUUUUUUUACAAAUUGUACAACAGCAUCGUAUACAUUUUCGAUACAUACUCAAGCAUUGUUGAUGAAUGAUUUUGUAUAUUUAAUAUCGAUAAAAUAUAAUACAAAUGUUUGGGAUUCAAUAACUAAUAUACAAUGACGCACAACGAUCAUUUUUUUUUUUUUUUUUUUUUUUGUAUACCGUCGUUAUCGUGUUUCAAAUUUCGAUCGGAUAUAUUUAUACUAUUUAACGUUUUCAGUUUUAUAUGAAUUACGAUAGCUGGUCCGCGGAUUUCAAUGAGAUG